rnacentral:tRNA from 1 species
GGGCGGAUAGCUCAGUUGGCAGAGCAUCCCGCUUACACCGGGAAGGUCAGGCGUUCAAGUCGCCUUCCGCCUACCA